AAGUCGUAACAAGGUUUCCGUAGGUGAACCUGCGGAAGGAUCAUUAGCAUUACCAGCAAAAAGUUCGCGAGAGCUUUUUGAACUCGGUCAAGCUGAUCGUUAAGAGUAGUAGCAAUACUGUCUUUUGGCGAUCAUCACAACAAGUAACCUGGGGUACUUUAAUAGUAAGGGAUGCAUUUCGGUGUGUCUUUUGCUUUUAGAGCCCUUCUAAUAAUCCCUAAUUUUUUACCAUUUUACCCCUUAUAAACUAAUAAGACUGAUAUGACAUGAUUUAAUGUCACAAUUAAAUCGAAAAACAACUCUUAACAAUGGAUAUCUAGGUUCUG
rnacentral:misc_RNA from 1 species